GAUGAACGCUGGCGGCGUGCCUAAUACAUGCAAGUAGAACGCUGAAGGAGGAGCUUGCUCUUCUGGAUGAGUUGCGAACGGGUGAGUAACGCGUAGGUAACCUGCCUGGUAGCGGGGGAUAACUAUUGGAAACGAUAGCUAAUACCGCAUGACAACAGUUAUUGCAUGAUAACUGUUUAAAAGGGGCAACUGCUCCACUACCAGAUGGACCUGCGUUGUAUUAGCUAGUUGGUGAGGUAACGGCUCACCAAGGCGACGAUACAUAGCCGACCUGAGAGGGUGAUCGGCCACACUGGAACUGAGACACGGCCCAGACUCCUACGGGAGGCAGCAGUAGGGAAUCUUCGGCAAUGGACGGAAGUCUGACCGAGCAACGCCGCGUGAGUGAAGAAGGUUUUCGGAUCGUAAAGCUCUGUUGUAAGAGAAGAACGAGUGUGAGAGUGGAAAGUUCACACUGUGACGGUAUCUUACCAGAAAGGGACGGCUAACUACGUG
rnacentral:rRNA from 1 species